GCAGUCGAGCGGUAGGCCCUUCGGGGUACCGAGCGGCGAACGGGUGAGUAACACGUGAGCAACCUGCCCCUGACUCUGGGAUAAGCGGUGGAAACGCCGUCUAAUACCGGAUACGACCUUCCGCCUCAUGGUGGAGGGUGGAAAGUUUUUUCGGUCAGGGAUGGGCUCGCGGCCUAUCAGCUUGUUGGUGGGGUAACGGCCUACCAAGGCGAUUACGGGUAGCCGGCCUGAGAGGGCGACCGGCCACACUGGGACUGAGACACGGCCCAGACUCCUGCGGGAGGCAGCAGUGGGGAAUAUUGCGCAAUGGGCGAAAGCCUGACGCAGCGACGCCGCGUGGGGGAUGACGGCCUUCGGGUUGUAAACCUCUUUUACCACCAACGCAGGCUCCGGGUUCUCUCGGGGUUGACGGUAGGUGGGGAAUAAGGACCGGCUAACUACGUGCCAGCAGCCGCGGUAAUACGUAGGGUCCGAGCGUUGUCCGGAAUUAUUGGGCGUAAAGAGCUCGUAGGCGGCGUGUCGCGUCUGCUGUGAAAGACCGGGGCUUAACUCCGGUUCUGCA
rnacentral:rRNA from 1 species